rnacentral:piRNA from 1 species
UGGUGUUAAAAUCGGACGACC